GCGCACCAGGCGCGAAUACUUUACAAUGUGCGAAAGCACGAUAAGGGAACUCUGAGUGCCUCCUAAGGAGGCUGUUCAGGUGUCUAAAAAGCACCUGGAGUAAGGGCUGGGUAAGACCGGUGCCAGCCGCCGCGGUAACACCGGCAGCCCAGGUGGUAGCCACUUUUAUUGGGUCUAAAGCGUCCGUAGCCGGUUGAGUAAGUUCCUUGGGAAAUUUGGCUGCUCAACAGUCAAGCUUCCAGGGAAUACUGCUCGACUUGGGACUGGGAGAGGUCAGAGGUACUCCAGGGGUAGGGGUGAAAUCCAUUAAUCCCUGGGGGACCACCGGUAGCGAAGGCGUCUGACCAGACCAGGUCCGACGGUGAGGGACGAAGGCUA
rnacentral:rRNA from 1 species